rnacentral:rRNA from 1 species
AGUGAACGCUGGCGGUAGGCCUAACACAUGCAAGUCGAACGGCAGCACAGUAAGAGCUUGCUCUUACGGGUGGCGAGUGGCGGACGGGUGAGGAAUACAUCGGAAUCUACUUUUUCGUGGGGGAUAACGUCGGGAAACUUACGCUAAUACCGCAUACGACCUACGGGUGAAGGCAGGGGAUCUUCGGACCUUGCGCGAUUGAAUGAGCCGAUGUCGGAUUAGCUAGUUGGCGGGGUAAAGGCCCACCAAGGCGACGAUCCGUAGCUGGUCUGAGAGGAUGAUCAGCCACACUGGAACUGAGACACGGUCCAGACUCCUACGGGAGGCAGCAGUGGGGAAUAUUGGACAAUGGGCGCAAGCCUGAUCCAGCCAUACCGCGUGGGUGAAGAAGGCCUUCGGGUUGUAAAGCCCUUUUGUUGGGAAAGAAAAGCAGCAGGUUAAUACCCCGCUGUUCUGACGGUACCCAAAGAAUAAGCACCGGCUAACUUCGUG